rnacentral:rRNA from 1 species
GAUGAACGCUGGCGGCGUGCCUAAUACAUGCAAGUCGAGCGAACAGAUGAGGAGCUUGCUCCUCUGACGUUAGCGGCGGACGGGUGAGUAACACGUGGAUAACCUACCUAUAAGACUGGGAUAACUUCGGGAAACCGGAGCUAAUACCGGAUAAUAUAUUGAACCGCAUGGUUCAAUAGUGAAAGACGGUUUUGCUGUCACUUAUAGAUGGAUCCGCGCCGCAUUAGCUAGUUGGUAAGGUAACGGCUUACCAAGGCGACGAUGCGUAGCCGACCUGAGAGGGUGAUCGGCCACACUGGAACUGAGACACGGUCCAGACUCCUACGGGAGGCAGCAGAAGGGAAUCUUCCGCAAUGGGCGAAAGCCUGACGGAGCAACGCCGCGUAAGUGAUGAAGGUCUUCGGAUCGUAAAACUCUGUUAUUAGGGAAGAACAAAUGUGUAAGUAACUAUGCACGUCUUGACGGUACCUAAUCAGAAAGCCACGGCUAACUACGUG